AAAAACGUUUUCUCUUCAACACCGCCUCCGUCCGACACCACCACUAGCGACCACCAUCGCCUACCCUCUCUCUCUUCCUUCUUCUCUUUCUUCCCCAUUUCUCCAUUUCUUCGUUCCUGCGUGCGACACCCCUGUUCGUGGAGUCACCCUCUGUCCGCGUCUUCAAGCACCGACAAGCAACCACCAGCGGCGGCGACCUUCUGUGCCACCGCGACAUCACCACCACCCCACCGCCUCUCCGUUCUUCUUCCUCCUUUCAUCAAUGCAGCUUUCUUAAAAGAUUCCCUCUCUCUCUGGUGCUGCAAAGUUAGGAUUUCCUAUGACCAGCUUCUUGGAGCUUAGUUAGUUUUCUGCUUCUUUGUGAAGUAUGAGGAAUCAUCAAUAUUGAAAGAAUAUUCAGUUUUCUACUACCGAACUCAAGAUUCUGAUAUACUCUUUUGCAAUAUUUGAUAUUUCUAUGCAGCAUUUCACAGUGGGAAUUGUAGUGGUGUGGGUCAAUAGAAUCUUUUGAUCAAAGAAACAAUAGUGGAGUAUUUGGUUCUUCAUCAUAUACACUAUCACAAAGUAUUGGUAGAGUUUAAGACUCCCAAAAAAGCUAUUCAAGGUUUAACCUUCUACUUUUUUAUCUGUAUCUGCUGUGAGAUAAUUGAUUUCAAAGGUGUAUUUUUCUGGACAUCCCUGCAACUGCAAGUGUUGGUUGUUUUUGCUUCUACUUUUAAGUCUUUGCGUGAAGUAAUAAUGAAUGAGUUAAUGAAACUAACAUAAGUGGAAAGGGGUGUAUAGUGAUAUUAAUGUCUCCGAUGGAGGCAACCACCAGAUCCUACAUGUCCUGAUUGAGAUCACGGUGGUGGGGCCUCAAUCACUGAAUCUCCCAAGUAACGUUAAAGAACACCAAUUUUUUAAUAAACUCUCUUCUGCUU